rnacentral:rRNA from 1 species
AGUGAACGCUGGCGGCGGGCCUAACACAUGCAAGUCGAACGGCAGCACAGUAUGAGCUUGCUGUUACGGGGGGCGAGGCGCGGGCGGGUGUGGUAUACCUCGGCAUCUACUGUUUCGGGGGGGAUCUCGUCGGGAGACUUACGAUUAUACCGUACACGACCUACGUGUGAAAGCAGGGGCUCAUCGGCUCUUGCGCGAUUGACUGAGGCGAUGUCGGAUUAGCUAGUUGGUGGGGUAAAGGCCCACCAAGGCGACGAUCCGUAGCUGGUCUGAGAGGAAGAUCAGCCACACUGGAACUGAGACACGGCCCAGACUCCUACGGGAGGCAGCAGUGGGGAAUAUUGGACAAUGGGCGCAAGCCUGAUCCAGCCAUGCCGCGUGGGUGAAGAAGGCCUUCGGGUUGUAAAGCACUUUUGUUGGGAAAGAAAAGCAGCAGGUUAAUACCUCGCUUUGCUGACGGUACCCAAAGAAUAAGCACCGGCUAACUACGUG